CAACUUAGCUGGCAGGGGAGAUACUAUGAUCACAAAGGCAGUUUUCCCAGAGUGAAGUGCAUCCAUUGCACUGCGGGUGCGCUGACCCCCGCGAUUUCCGCAAAUGCGAGAAACUCGACUGCAUAAUUUGUGGUAGUGGGGGACUGCAUUCGCGCUUUCCCCUG
rfam:Chelonia mydas contig273816, whole genome shotgun sequence.